GCUGGUGAAGGGUCUGGAGCACCAGCGUCACUUUUAUAGGGAGCGGCGGAGAGAACUGGGAUGUUUGGUCUGCAGGAGGCUCAGUGGAGACGUUAUCGCUCUCUACCAGGACCUGAGGGAAGGCUGUGGCAAGGUGGCGGUUGGCCUCUUCUCCCAGGUAACGGCAACAAGACGAGAAGGAACAGCUUUAAGCUGCACCAAGGGAGGUCCCGGUUGGAUCUGGGAAAGCUUCUUCUUGGAAAGAAUGGCCAAGAGCAAGAACAAGAAUGGCACUGGAACAGGCUGGGCUGCUCGGGGAAGUGCUGGAGUCACUGUCCCUGGGGUGUUCAAGAAACGUGUAGAUGUGUCACUUGGGGACAGGGCUUGUUGGUCUUGGUGGUGGCGGGGUGGCAGUUGGACGGUUGGAGGCAGGGCGACAUAAGAUAGGCAGGUGGAAUCCUUGGGAAACGUAGAGAUCAAAUGGAAGAGAUUAGGCAAUUGGGAAGACAAAUGAGUGGGAUAUGGACCUCAGCUGCUGCCAUCUCAGAGGGACCCUGGGAACAAGAUGGAGGCCAGUGCAAAGCGUGUGCAGGCGUGGGGUGGGCAGGAGGAGGCAGAGCGCCCUACCCAGGCUCCACCUCACAGGCGUGUCAUGGUUCCAGAGGUGGGUGGGGUGCACCGUGGCGCCAUCACAAUGGAACUCAAUUCUGAGCUCACGGGGUGGUCCCACCUCUGCUAUUGCGGUCGUGACCAGCGUUUAGCGAUGAUGGUUGACGGCAGCUCUCUCUUUGUCCCCGCUACCCUUGUCCUUCUCUACGGCCUCAUGUUUCUGGUGGCCGGAAUCUCCCUGCUCACCGUGAUCCCAAACCUGCAGGUAGAGGAGAUAUGAGGCUGGGGGUGACUUGUGGCUGGGGGUGACUUGUGGCUGGGGGUGAGAGCCGGGGUCAGGUGUGUGGGACCCCUCAGGAGUGUAACUGUGCCCUGUCCAUGUGCCCGUAGGCCGGCAGAAAAUGCUUUUGGUGGAGGAGAUGGUGGCGGCAAGCAGCGGCACCAGAGCCAGGUGCUGAGAGACAGGCAGGCAGGCACAGCAGUCCCCGGAGCGAGCCAUGGUGCCCCUGCAGUAAGGCUGACCAGGAGCUCCAGCAGCUGGUCCUGUCGGGACUGCCUGGGUGCAGGCCUGUGCUGGGCCCCGACUUCUGGCAGGCGGCCUGGAGGGACCUGGAGGAACUGGUGGAGCAGAACAGCCUGUCGUGCCACUGUUGCAGCUCUCGUGAGGGCCAGGCUGAGGCACGGCGGCAUCCCGGGAAGAAGCAGCAGGACCACCAGGGCCACCCCAAGGAGUCAGCAAAGAUUCCUUUGCCUCUGGGUGCAGCACCUAAGGAGACACAACGUCCAGCAGCUGCUGCAGCACUUCCAGGCCCAGCCAGAGCAACACUGCAGAAGGACAGCGGCGCUCAAACGGACACCUCAGACCUGCUUCUGGCUGACGCUGAAGCUACCGGGAGGCAACGCCACUGUGCAGUGCCUGACAACAUCUCAAAGCCACAGCUCAGUCAGAUGUCUUGCAUGCAGGUCUCCGUGCACACAGCCAAAAAGUGCCUGGACGUCAAUCUCCACGUCUUCCCUGAGGCAGUUCGGAGGCCCACAGAACUGCUGCAGCAUCCACAGCCAACACAUGGUGCCCCGGUCUCCACACUCAAAAGGAAGUGCCCCCUCCAUCCUGACCAGGUCCCGCGGCAGCAGCAUGGGGCCAGGGCACCAGGAUGCCACCGCGCUCCCACGUACUUCUGCAGCCGUGAGGCUUGGUUCCUGCCCGAGGAGGAGCGCGAGGCCCUGGAGCUGCACACCUGCUCCAUGAAGCAGAAGCACCCUGGGAACCAGCCAGCAGCGUCCUGGGAGAAGGAGUCCACCAGCACAUAUAAGACUGCACCAUCUGAGGCAGACUGGGCUGAGGCAGGUGCCAAAGGACACAAGCGGUGGCCCUGGUGCAAGAAUUGCCCUGGGAGAGGCGAGAGCACCUGGAGCACCAAAGCAGAACGCAGCAGCUCUCCACCUGGCAGCGUAACGUUCUGAGCAGCACAGGUUGAACACCAC
ensembl:lncRNA